UUUAAUGAUAAUAAUAUGGAUAUCCAAUGGAUAAUCCAUAUCAAAGUAAACAUCACACUUAUUCGUAAUAGCUAAUUUACACAAAUAAUCAGCUGCAGUAUUUUUAUUACGAUUGAUCCAAUUAAUUUGAAUCGAAUUAAAAUUUUUAAAGGCUUCGCACUCUUGCUUAAUGCGCUGGCCCAAAAUGGUAAUAUCAUGCUUCCUCUUAUUAACCUUGUUGACCAACACAGCGCUAUUAGAUUCCAGAAUUAGCUGGGUCAAAUUUAAUUUUUUGGCUAACUUUAUUCCUUCUUCAAACGCCUCCAGCUCAGCCCAACCAACGUCCAAAGUUUCUUCCCUGAAUUU
rnacentral:lncRNA from 1 species